CCCCCACUAAACUUUCCAGGCUCCCUCGUCAGAUCCUCGUCAAAUUCGUCAUAUCCUCAUCUUCGUGGUCUUCCCCAUUCGUCAUCUUCGCCGUUCUCCGUUCUCCGUUCGCCGUUCGCCGUUCUCCGUUCGCCGUUCGCCGUUCUCCGUUCGCGUCGUCAUCCUCGUCCAGGCGUCGUUCGUCAUCUUCACCGUCAGAUCCUCGUCCAGGCGUCAGAUCCUCAUCCAGUCGUCAUCCUCGUCCAGGCGUCGUUCGUCAUCUUUGCCGUCAGAUCCUCGUCCAGGCGUCAGAUCCUCGUCCAGUCGUCAUCCUCAUCCAGUCGUCAUCCUUGUCCAGGCGUCGUUGGAGAACAAUGCUACCUCUUUCACUUCUCAAGACAGCACAAGGCCACCCCAUGGAAUCACUAGGUGCUUUUUCAAGUGGAAUACAUCUUGCUACUACCAAAAGGAGAUCUGGAAGUUAUAUGAUUCAUCCUUUUCUUGCCUUUUCAUUUUGUCCUCCCUUUGUUUCUAGAACCAGUCUGGCUUACUAUAACACGCUUUCAAUGUCA